UGUUAAAAAUUCCAUCCAUUUUUACUAUUUAAACUCAAUAUGGUUGACAGAAUAAGUAAACAGAGACACGUGGCAUGCUACAGUACCUCAUCCUGACCUAUGGGGACUAAUUUUUAACAAUAGAAAUAGAUGAAAUUUUUAAUA
rfam:Gossypium arboreum cultivar AKA8401 contig_15512_1, whole genome shotgun sequence.